GACGAACGCUGGCGGCGUGCUUAACACAUGCAAGUCGAACGGUGAAGCGCCUUCUUUUUUGGUGGGUGUGGAUGCGUGGCGAACGGGUGAGUAACACGUGAGUAACCUGCCCCCUUCUUCUGGAUAACCGCAUGAAAGUGUGGCUAAUACGGGAUAUUCUGGGUCUGUCGCAUGAUGGGUCUGGGAAAGAUAUUGUUUCGGUGGGGGAUGGGCUCGCGGUCUAUCAGCGUGUUGGUGGGGUGAUGGCCUACCAAGGCGGUGACGGUUAGCCGGCUGGCGAGGGUGGACGGUCAGACUGGGACUGAGACACGGCCCAGACUCCUACGAGAGGCAGCAGUGUGGAAUAGUGCGCAAUGGGCGCAAGCCUGAUACAGCGACGCCGCGUAAGGAAUAGAGGCCUUCGGGUUGUGAACCUCUUUCGCCAGUGAAGCAGGCCUGCCUCGUAUGUAGGUGGAUUGACGGUAGCUGGAUAAGAAGCACCGGCUAACUACGUG
rnacentral:rRNA from 1 species